GGAGUUGUAGCUCAGUGCUAGAGGGCUUGUCUAGCAUGUAUGAGGUGCUGAGUUUGAUCCUCAGCACCA
rnacentral:tRNA from 1 species